rnacentral:rRNA from 1 species
AAGGAAUAUUGGUCAAUGGAGGCAACUCUGAACCAGCCAUGCCGCGUGAAGGAUUAAGGCCCUCUGGGUUGUAAACUUCUUUUAUAUGGGAAGAAAUGUACUUUUUCUAAAGUGCUUGACGGUACCAUAGGAAUAAGCACCGGCUAACUCUGUGCCAGCAGCCGCGGUAAUACGGAGGGUGCAAGCGUUAUCCGGAUUUACUGGGUUUAAAGGGUGCGUAGGCGGAUGAGUAAGUCAGUGGUGAAAUCUCCGAGCUUAACUCGGAAACUGCCGUUGAUACUAUUUGUCUUGAAUAUUGUGGAGGUAAGCAGAAUAUGUCAUGUAGCGGUGAAAUGCUUAGAUAUGACAUAGAACACCAAUUGCGAAGGCAGCUUGCUACACAAUCAUUGACGCUGAGGCACGAAAGCGUGGGGAUCAAACA